GUGCUCAUUUCGGCAGCAUAUAUACUAAAAUUGGAAUGAUACAGAGAAGAUUAGCAUGGCCCCUGUGCAAGGAUGACAUGCAAAAGCUCUUUCUAGGGCAAGCAUUA